rnacentral:rRNA from 1 species
CAGUAGCCGCGGUAAUACGUAGGGUGCAAGCGUUAAUUGGAAUUACUGGGCGUAAAGCGUGCGCAGGCUGUUUUGUAAGACAGAGGUGAAAUCCCCGGGCUCAACCUGGGAACUGCCUUUGUGACUGCAAGGCUAGAGUACGGCAGAGGGGGAUGGAAUUCCGCGUGUAGCAGUGAAAUGCGUAGAUAUGCGGAGGAACACCGAUGGCGAAGGCAAUCCCCUGGGCCUGUACUGACGCUCAUGCACGAAAGCGUGGGGAGCAAACAGGAUUAGAUACCCCUGUAGUCCCUGUCUCUUAUAC